rnacentral:rRNA from 1 species
AACUCAAAGGAAUUGACGGGGGCCCGCACAAGCGGUGGAGCAUGUGGUUUAAUUCGAUGCAACGCGAAGAACCUUACCUGGUCUUGACAUCCACGGAAGUUUUCAGAGAUGAGAAUGUGCCUUCGGGAACCGUGAGACAGGUGCUGCAUGGCUGUCGUUAGCUCGUGUUGUGAAAUGUUGGGUUAAGUCCCGCAACGAGCGCAACCCUUAUCCUUUGUUGCCAGCGGUCCGGCCGGGAACUCAAAGGAGACUGCCAGUGAUAAACUGGAGGAAGGUGGGGAUGACGUCAAGUCAUCAUGGCCCUUACGACCAGGGCUACACACGUGCUACGAUGGCGCAUACAAAGAGAAGCGACCUCGCGAGAGCAAGCGGACCUCAUAAAGUGCGUCGUAGUCCGGAUUGGAGUCUGCAACUCGACUCCAUGAGGUCGGAAUCGCUAGUAAUCGUGGAUCAGAAUGCCACGGUGAAUACGUUCCCGGGCCUUGUACACACCGCCCGUC